rnacentral:rRNA from 1 species
AAGACGGUCUUCGGAUUGUAAAGCCCUUUCAGUUGGGACGAAGCUUCGACGGUUAAUAGCCGGCGGGAGUGACGGUACCUUCAGAAGAAGCCCGGCUAACUACGUGC